rnacentral:lncRNA from 1 species
CGACAAAAUGGCGGCGGGCGGAGAGCGCGGGAAGGGCCCGCGGCGCCCUGAGGGCCGCUCGUUCCCUUCCCGUCCCCCUCACCGUCCCAUUUUGAAGUGUUUUUUUCCCCUCACAGCGUGAAGAUUUUGGGGUCAACGCUGCUCUUUCCUCCCCCUCCACACGCGCCCUCCCAGGGAAAUGCAGGAUUGUUUGUGUAACUCCCACUCUACAGCAGAUAGCUUCUCUGUCACCAUGACUUCAAUGUGCACAGUCCAAGCAGUCACUUGUGAGCAAGGAGAGCAGGUAUUGGCACCUCCUCAUUAGCCUUCAUCAAUGAGAAUAUUGGCUAUGGUGUUGCGUGAGUGCCACUGGCUGACCAAUGGAGGGGCCCUACCCUGCUAAGCUGGAGCAACACUUUCUGAGUGGUGAUUUCAUUGCCUGGUUGCUGCAGUGAUUUGGAGCACAGCUGUGACGUUAUGCUUUUUCUGGCAAAAAUUUAGCUGAGGGGCCACUGUACCCUGUGGGAAUUGUACUACUUUUCUGUGGCAGUUUGGGAUAACUGAGGGCUUCCUUGGGAGUGUUGGACUUCUACCGCCACACGCUUUGGAUUGAAGAGUUACCAGAACGACAUCUGUGAGGUUUCCAAGCUAAACAAAACCUGAAUUUCUGGUGCAAAAAGCAAGUGAGUGAUAGAAACCUCUGCUCCUCUUCCAGCGGGGGGACACUGCAGCCUUUUAAGCUUUCCUAUUAUGCCAAAGAGGUAAAAAAGCAUAAGCAUGCAUUGUGUUAUGCAGUGCUAUUGGUGAUAUAAAAUGAAAGCCAAAGCUAGCCAAGAAACUGUUCUCCUUUCAAAUACAUCUCCACGCACAAGUACUUUUCUUCUUUGCCUUUCCCUGAAGUGAGAGAGCAAUAAGGGCACAAGCGUGCGCUCAGUCUGCUUCAUUUAGAACACAGUGAAGUGACUUCGGUGCCAACAUGAUGAAUCAAAAGCAUUGAAGAUAGCUGGCUUGCUAUUUAUUUUGCUCUGGGCAUGACAAUCAGAUGUGAUUGGGGAUGUGAAGAAGAGCAGCCUUCAACUCACAGAGUUGCACUGUUUUAAACCCUUGUCCUGUGACUUCUCCAGCGUGAUUUCUGUCAUUCCUGCUGGGCAUUGCACGUGGGCCUUUUCAUGGAGAGGUAACGCCCUGCAGCUGUGUGUUAAACAUGGCAACAUACAGGAUACAGUGAUCUCUCCACUCCCAGGAGCCUGGAAGACUGAAGCCCUCUGCCUAGAGGAUGAAAUGCUUCAUGUUUGGAAAAAAAACUAGCAGGUACAGCACUUCAGGAUGUGAUUGCAGAGAUGUUUGGGGGCAAAAGGAACCAGGGCAGAAGCUGGCGCUGUAAUGUUCCUAUUUUUUUUUCCACAGUGGGUGAAAAAUCAGUGGCAUUAUUUUGCAGCAGCUCUCAUCCCCUGCGUUGUGUGGAUGAGAACAGCAUGGAGUCUGGCUGGGAGCAGUGCUUGAAAAGGAGUCAGAGAAUCCUGGUACAGCUGAUGCAGUGACUCAAAGGGACAGAGUUAACACAUCGUGAAGACUUGGAGCGCUACCCUGUAAAAGGCUUUGUCUGUGACAGCUCCUUUCCUGUGGAUGUCCUUCCAGCCAGGCUGCCCGCAGUGUGACAGCAGUGACCCUGUGUGAGGUUUCUUUGAAGGACCUGGGAGACUGCGUGGCUUUUUCUUGUCCCUCGGAGGUGCUUCCCUGGCAGGGAGGGAGGAAAAUGAUUGGCAGUGCUGUCACAGGAGGCAUGCUUACCUGGCUAGGGGAAAGCUUGGUGUGGAAAAGCCAGCUGGUGCAUGGUUUGGGGAAGGAGAGGUUCCUUUCUCUCCAGAAUGGAAUCCCUUAAGGAAGGUAUAGACAAGCAGUUCCUGCUCUUGGGGCUUCUGGCUGGUUAAAACAAAGAGCUGAGCCCAUUUCCAUGGAGAAAUGUAUAAUAGAGCACGUUGCAGUGCUUUUCCUUGCGUGUGCGUGGCUUGGUCACACGUUUAACUAAUAGAUGGUUUGCAUGCAAGAGGUUAUUGCUUUUUUAUACUUUCAAUCAGUCCAUCUCCAUUGGGCAGAGCAGCUUCACAGCCACCAGCACGGGGGAAACUGAGGCACGGGGCUACAGUGGGAUUACAGGCAGAGCCGGGGAUAAGGCUCAGGUUUGCCGAGGCUCAGACCGACGUGCGUCAGAGGGCUGAUUAAAUGGAGAGAUUUGCAAAGGGAAGUGACCUAUAGCUCCAUGGCCGGGACGGUGUUGCUGGACUCGAUCCUUGUGGGCACCUUCCAACUCAAAGGGCAGUUUGGUCAGGGGAAGGGCUGGGUAAGCACGGCGAGCGCGGCCGACAGGGAGCGAGAUGUGGUGAGCUCCUUCCAUUGCCUUAGCCUGGAGCACAGCCAACCCGCGGGGCUCAUCCAGCACUGAACUUUGGAGUCGUUGCAGAUAAACAGCGCUAUAGGCUAAUAAAAGGCUCUGCCACGCAGGGCCCGGUCUGCCCGCACCGCAAUGACUUUGUUACGUGCUGACUGCAGUGAGGGACGGCGCUGGGUUUGCCUUCUCCUGGCCUUGGAUGGAGAGGAGCGGGCAGAACCUCGAGGCCUUUUGCCCCGCACCCGUUUCUGCACGGCAGCCCUUUACAUUUCACAGCGUGCUCCAUUUUUUUUCCUACUCCUAUUCCUUUUGUAGCAUAGCCCCCCUUUUUUGCAACAGUCCCCCUUUCUUCCUUCGUACCGUAUGUUUUAUUUGCUUAUUUCUUUAUGUGCAAUCCCUUAAUCCAUCACCUUGCAUUGCAGCCCCGCUUUUCGGCAUGCAUCCCUUGCUUUCCACAACCCACCUCGUGCAUUUAUUACUUUCCAUCGCAGCUCCCGUUUCUGGCUCGCACCUCCUCUUUUUUUUUUUUUUUUUUUUUUUGCCGUGCUUCCUUUAUCUAUGACUUCCCAUCCCAGCCCUGUUUGUAUCUGCCAUACAGUCCCUCCGUCACGUCGCGUUACACCGCGCUCUGCCCGCUCCGCUCCCGCAGCCCUCCACCGCUGCGCUCCCCG